GGGUGAGUAUGCAUCGGAACGUAUCUGGAGUGGGGGAUACGUUAAAAUACGCUAUACGCAUAUCUGUGAGCAGGAAAGCAGGGGCUCGCAAGACCUUGCGCUCUGGGGGCGGCCGAUGUCGGAUUACUGGUUGGUGGGGUAAGGCCUACCAAGGCGACGAUCCGUACGGGUCUGAAGGAUGAUCCGCCACACUGGGACUGAACACGGCCAACUCCUACGGGAGGCACAUGGGGAAUUUUGGACAAUGGGCGCAAGCCUGAUCCAGCCAUGCCGCGUGAGUGAAGAAGGCCUUCGGGUUGUAAAGCUCUUUCGGCCGGAACGAAAUCGACCGGGUUAACACCUCGGUUGGAUGACGGUACCGGAAGAAGAAGCACCGGCUAACUACGUGCCAGCAGCCGCGGUAAAUACGUAGGGUGCAGGCGUUAAAUCGGAAUUACUGGGCGUAAAGCGUGCGCAGGCGGUUCCUAAGUCAGAUGUGAAAUCCCCGGGGCUUAAACCUGGGAACUUGCGUUUGAAAACUGGGAGGCUAAAGUGCGGCAAAGGGAGGUGGAAAUUCCACGUGUACAGUUGAAAUUGCGUAAAUUGUGGAGGGAACACCCG
rnacentral:rRNA from 1 species